CCUACGGGUGGCUGCAGUGAGGAAUAUUGGUCAAUGGGCGCGAGCCUGAACCAGCCAAGUAGCGUGAAGGAUGACUGCCCUACGGGUUGUAAACUUCUUUUAUAAAGGAAUAAAGUGAGGCACGUGUGCCUUUUUGUAUGUACUUUAUGAAUAAGGAUCGGCUAACUCCGUGCCAGCAGCCGCGGUAAUACGGAGGAGCCGAGCGUUAUCCGUGUUUAUUUGGUUUAAAGGGAGCGUAGAUGGGUUGUUAAGUCAGUUGUGAAAGUUUGCGGCUUAACCCUAAAAUUGCAAUUGUUACUGGCAGUCUUGAGUACAGUUGAGGUAGGCGGAAUUCGUGGUGUAGCGGUGAAAUGCUUAGAUAUCACGAAGAACUCCGAUUGCGAAGGCAGCUUACUAAACUGCCACUGACAUUGAUGCUCGAAAGUGUGGGUAUCAAACAGGAUUAGAUACCCGUGUAGUC
rnacentral:rRNA from 1 species